rnacentral:rRNA from 1 species
GAUGAACGCUGGCGGCGUGCUUAACACAUGCAAGUCGAGCGGAGAUAUUUAAACGGAAGGUUUCGGCUGGAAGGUUAAAUAUCUUAGCGGCGGACGGGUGAGUAACGUGUGGGCAACCUGCCCUGUACUGUGGAAUAAUCACUGGAAACGGUGACUAAUACCGCAUGUCAUCACAAGGGGGCAUCCCCUUGUGAGAAAAGGAUUUAUUCGGUACAGGAUGGGCCCGCAUCUGAUUAGCUAGUUGGUGAGAUAACAGCCCACCAAGGCAACGAUCAGUAGCCGACCUGAGAGGGUGAUCGGCCACAUUGGGACUGAGACACGGCCCAAACUCCUACGGGAGGCAGCAGUGGGGAAUAUUGCACAAUGGGCGAAAGCCUGAUGCAGCAACGCCGCGUGAAGGAUGAAGGGUUUCGGCUCGUAAACUUCUAUCAAUAGGGACGAAAAAAAUGACGGUACCUAAAUAAGAAGCCCCGGCUAACUACGUGCCAGCAGCCGCGGUAAUACGUAGGGGGCAAGCGUUAUCCGGAAUUACUGGGUGUAAAGGGAGAGUAGGCGGCAUGGUAAGUUAGAUGUGAAAGCCCGGGGCUUAACCUCGGGAUUGCAUUUAAAACUAUCAAGCUAGAGUACAGGAGAGGUAAGUGGAAUUCCUAGUGUAGCGGUGAAAUGCGUAGAUAUUAGGAAGAACACCAGUGGCGAAGGCGACUUACUGGACUGAAACUGACGCUGAGGCUCGAAAGCGUGGGGAGCGAACAGGAUUAGAUACCCUGGUAGUCCACGCCGUAAACGAUGAGUGCUAGGUGUCGGGGGGGAACCCUCGGUGCCGCAGCUAACGCAAUAAGCACUCCACCUGGGGAGUACGAUCGCAAGAUUGA